ACGCGCGAAACCUUACCUGGGCUUGACAUGCACUGGAUGCGGCCAGAGAUGGUUGUUCCCUUUGUGGCUGGUGUGCAGGUGGUGCAUGGUUGUCGUCAGCUCGUGUCGUGAGAUGUUGGGUUAAGUCCCGCAACGAGCGCAACCCUUGUCUCGUGUUGCCAGCAUUUGGUUGGGGACUCGCGGGAGACUGCCGGGUUAACUCGGAGGAAGGUGGGGAUGACGUCAAAUCAUCAUGCCCCUUAUGUCCAGG
rnacentral:rRNA from 1 species